UGGCGGCGUGCCUAAUACAUGCAAGUCGAGCGAAGCGAUUUCAAGGAAGUUUUCGGACGGAAUUGAAAUUGACUUAGCGGCGGACGGGUGAGUAACGCGUGGGUAACCUGCCUCAUACAGGGGGAUAACAGUCGGAAACGACUGCUAAUACCGCAUAAGCACACAGUGCCGCAUGGUACAGUGUGAAAAACUCCGGUGGUAUGAGAUGGACCCGCGUCUGAUUAGGUAGUUGGUGAGGUAACGGCCCACCAAGCCGACGAUCAGUAGCCGACCUGAGAGGGUGACCGGCCACAUUGGGACUGAGACACGGCCCAAACUCCUACGGGAGGCAGCAGUGGGGAAUAUUGGACAAUGGGGGAAACCCUGAUCCAGCGACGCCGCGUGAGUGA
rnacentral:rRNA from 1 species